rnacentral:rRNA from 1 species
GAUGAACGCUUGCGGCGCGCCUAACACAUGCAAGUCGAACGGCACCUAUCUUCGGAUAGAAGCGAGUGGCGAACGGCUGAGUAACACGUGGAGAACCUGCCCCCUCCCCCGGGAUAGCCGCCCGAAAGGACGGGUAAUACCGGAUACCCCGGGGUGCCGCAUGGCACCCCGGCUAAAGCCCCGACGGGAGGGGAUGGCUCCGCGGCCCAUCAGGUAGACGGCGGGGUGACGGCCCACCGUGCCGACAACGGGUAGCCGGGUUGAGAGACCGACCGGCCAGAUUGGGACUGAGACACGGCCCAGACUCCUACGGGAGGCAGCAGUGGGGAAUCUUGCGCAAUGGGGGGAACCCUGACGCAGCGACGCCGCGUGCGGGACGGAGGCCUUCGGGUCGUAAACCGCUUUCAGCAGGGAAGAGUCAAGACUGUACCUGCAGAAGAAGCCCCGGCUAACUACGUGCCAGCAGCCGCGGUAAUACGUAGGGGGCGAGCGUUAUCCGGAUUCAUUGGGCGUAAAGCGCGCGUAGGCGGCCCGGCAGGCCCGGGGGUCGAAGCGGGGGGCUCAACCCCCCCGAAGCCCCCGGAACCUCCGCGGCUUGGGUCCGGUAGGGGAGGGUGGAACACCCCGGUGUAGCGGUGGAAUGCGCAGAUAUCGGGUGGAACACCGGUGGCGAAGGCGGCCCUCUGGGCCGAGACCGACGCUGAGGCGCGAAAGCUGGGGGAGCGAACAGGAUUAGAUACCCUGGUAGUCCCAGCCGUAAACGAUGGACGCUAGGUGUGGGGGGACGAUCCCCCCGUGCCGCAGCCAACGCAUUAAGCGUCCCGCCUGGGGAGUACGGCCGCAAGGCUAAAACUCAAAGGAAUUGACGGGGGCCCGCACAAGCAGCGGAGCAUGUGGCUUAAUUCGAAGCAACGCGAAGAACCUUACCAGGGCUUGACAUAUGGGUGAAGCGGGGGAGACCCCGUGGCCGAGAGGAGCCCAUACAGGUGGUGCAUGGCUGUCGUCAGCUCGUGUCGUGAGAUGUUGGGUUAAGUCCCGCAACGAGCGCAACCCCCGCCGCGUGUUGCCAUCGGGUGAUGCCGGGAACCCACGCGGGACCGCCGCCGUCAAGGCGGAGGAGGGCGGGGACGACGUCAAGUCAUCAUGCCCCUUAUGCCCUGGGCUGCACACGUGCUACAAUGGCCGGUACAGAGGGAUGCCACCCCGCGAGGGGGAGCGGAUCCCGGAAAGCCGGCCCCAGUUCGGAUUGGGGGCUGCAACCCGCCCCCAUGAAGUCGGAGUUGCUAGUAAUCGCGGAUCAGCAUGCCGCGGUGAAUGCGUUCCCGGGCCU